rnacentral:lncRNA from 1 species
CUCUCCUCCCGGGUCUGCGCGGACGCGGCCUCCUUACCUCAUUUGUCCUCGCCCCUCCCCGUCCCUCUACGCGUUUUGGUCCCUGUUUGGUGCUUUCUGUUUGCAGCUACGGCAGCUGGAGUGUAGUGGCGUGAUCAUAGCUCACUGUCAACUUUGAACACUUGGGCUCAAGCUAUCCUCCCUCAGCCUCCCAAGGUGGGAGGUACAGAUCUGGGCAUAGGAACCAAUCAGAAACAAUCGCUUCAGCAAUCAAGACCAUUGUUCAUCAUGGAGGAACCCAUGGAUACCUCUGAGCCUCUAUCUGCAUUACCAUUCACUGGGCAGCAGUCUUUUGAGCCAAGUGGCAAAUUUGGACAGUAUCCAUCGAUGCAGAUGAACCACAUCCAGGCACUGGGGAAGUGGAGGACAUAGAACAGCUCAAUCAGUGUUUGAUCCAACACUUCCAUCUCAUUAAGACAAGUUUGAUUUUUCUUUGCUUUUUAUUUCAUGGAAUACAUGAGAAUCUCUUAACUGUUGGAGUUUCCAAGGAGGCAUACCUCAUGACUUCAGUUAAUGGAAAGAACAAAACUAAAAUGCUGUAUGGCCAAAGCCACAAAGGGAAGGAUCCACAAUUUACAUUCUUGGAGCUAUCAUCUGUACUGUACUGUUGUGAUCUACUGAUUGGCAUUGGCAUAGUAGUAGGGGUCAAGUGACAGAAUCCGUGCCAGCAGUCUCCAGGUUCAGAAGCAAUUCAAGACCCUGAUGAUAGCUCUCCAGCAACCAACACAUGGUGAUUGUGCCAACUUGUUGCUCAGUUAUAAUGCAGGGCCAGUGAUUGGUUUAAGUGAAGACCAUGGUUGAGAUCAUUUGUCUUUGGUCUAAUAGAAUUUGAGUCUAGUAGAAUUUGAGUCUCCAGGGAAAGAGCUACUUGACCAAAUUAAACUAGUAGCAGGUAGAGCAUGAAUGACAGCAUAUUAUACCAUCAAGAUGUUCUUAGAGCAGUGUAUGGAUGGAUCGAUUGUACUGCCAUCAGUUGUGACUGACGUUGUAUUCAAGGAGAAAGAGAAACUUGUUUAGAAAGCACUUUGAAAGUUUUUUGAGUACGGGGGUGCCCUGUAUCACCCCGUUAUGGUUGAACUUUCUCCUUCAAAAUUACCAGACUUGGCAGCAGUGGCAAAUUAUUGGGCUAAAAGACUUAAUCAGACAUAUUCUGGGUUCAAGGCUCCUAAUAUAAUACCUGGUGCAAACAUUAUACUUCCACUCAUUCAGAUGGUUGCAUCCUGCCAGGCAUCCAGUGGGACUGGGAAUAUGGACACUUGAACAUUAAACAUCCUGAAGAAUUUUGGAAUGACAGGUUACAAGUGAACAUAAUCAGUUCUCUAUAUUAAAAAAAAAAAAAGAUUUGGGCAUAGAUUGGGCUCACAUAAUCUUUAGAGAGAUUUUUUCAUUUUUGUGAAAGUACAGAAAUUCUUAACUGCUUAUGAAAUGCUGAUUGUUAAACAGCAUCCACAGCUAUUUUGUGUUGUUUCCCUGACCCCACCCUGAAGAAAAGAAAAA